UAUUAGGAAGGUGUUGGCCCGGCAAAAAAUCACGGCAUCUCUUUCCUAUGGUGCCUUAUUUCUUUUCGGUCAAACGUUGUCUCCUCACUGCUCCUUGACGGCAUCUGAUCGCUGCAGCUUGCAACCGUCCUCUGCCUCCGCAUGUGCCCGCCGCCGAACCACCGUGAAUCUGCUUGGUGCCUGCCGCUGAACCCGGCCCUCCUUUCGCUGGUGACACGAAGAGCGCUGCGACAACGCCGCAACCCAGACGCCGCUGUCAUCUGGCUCCGGAUCCGGCCCUCCGUCGGUGGCUUUUGCCUUCCGCCGAACCACCGUGAAUCGGUGCGGCAUGCCGGUGCAAACCGGCGAGUGAGCGUCCUUCGGAAUAGACCACUAUGCCACAUCACAGCACCUCUGUUCCUUGGCCUCAGGUCGCCACCGUUGGACGGGCCACUUCUGGACUCGACGCCUGCAAUCCCGCGAGCCACCGAAUGACCUCACAUCUUAUCCCCAAUACCUCAGGCAGGCAGCGAUGGCGACAGGGAAACCCUAGCCGCCGCCACAUUCCAGUUGCCGUCGGCAUAGGCCAAGGGGAGCAGCAGCAAGUCAACGUCCUCCCUCUGGUUGUCGUGGGGCAUCAUGCCUCAUGGAGCACCAGCCGCCGCAGAUGCCCAAGGCUCUCCAGCGGCCAUCCAGGCCAGCCCCGCUGGCAACUUAGGUCGGCCCACGCGUCCAGCGACCACAGCCGGCCGUCAGCCCCCGUCCACAGACCCGCACCCGCGGAGGAGUACGCCAUGGCGGAGUAGGCAGAGGCACAAGUCCGCUGGCUGCUGGACAUCCUCGCCUGCACUAACAAAUCGAGGUGAAGGUUUGCAAUAUGAAGCUUCUCCAAGUUUAAUUAUCUGCCCUGGUUGUUGAGCUCCGGCGAAAGCAACACCUUGAGCAAAUGGCACGACUAGCAUGUAAUGUUAGGGGCCAAAUCACUUGCAAAUGAACAAUAUGGUUGGAUCAGGUAUGGCAUGCAACUGCUUUACCCUUUUUUCUUGGUAUCCAAAAUCUUAUGGUCUCUGCAUUUAGGAAACAUAGAAAACGAAAAUCUAUCAAAGCGUUCUUGAAAAUAACAAUUCUAUGAUUAAUUGGCACUGCUACUCUAAUAUGAACUCAUUUUAGACUUUAGUGUGUCUGAGUCGCCAUAUGCUCACUUUUAAUCUAUUUUAGGUUUGUAAAUUAUGCCGAAAGGUAGAGAAAUCUGUAUUGAAAGUGGUUGUGUGAUUAUAUUUGUUGUUAGACUUGUGACAUUCAAUACAAAGGAUCGAGUUUUUUUAAUGCUUGGACAAUUAUGUUAAUAAAUGGCAUAAUUUGACACUUGGUUCAAGGCAAGUGGAAUAGCUUUUCAAAGAUGAGAUUGCUGGGUUAGGACAACUGUUCAAAGUAGUGGAUGCUAAAAAUAGAGUUGCAAUUACUUUUGAUGAUCUUAGGAGAAGUUAUAGGAGAUGUUGUACUGAAUUUAGAGGAUAGAAAAAAGUGAUAGAAUGGAAGUGGUAACAUGAACUAUUUUCUUGUUUGACACAUGGCAGUUGUCAGUCUGUCACUAAGCAUUUUUUUUGGUUGAAGUGUUCUGUGUGAAGUCUGAUCAAUUUUAUUACAGUAAAUAAUAUGAAUGCCUGAUAAAUGAGCGAAAUAAAACAUGUGAUGUGAGGACCUAGAUUAUUACACUUUGAUUGUCUGAACAUACGUUGUUUGAUAUUUUUAUCAAAUUUUGUUCUUUGAUGGCAUCUUACAUACCAUUGGGCUGAAGCCAAUUGUGCUAUUCUUUAUGAGGCCUAAGAGCACACUAGCACUUUGAAGGAGAAUGAGGGUGGCUGCAAGGGAUAAAUGUUGAGGGCAAGAGAAAGACAUGAAGUUGCACUGUUUGUUACUUGGAUCCUUCGGGAAAUGAGGCGAUAGGUAUCCGAAUUGCCAAGUACAAUGUCCCUUGUUUGAAAACCAAUGCUACUUAUGUCGAAAGCAAAUGUGUCUUUCCGUAACUGUGUUAAUUUCGUAAAUUUUAUUUUUUAAUUAAAUAUCACUUAAAUAUCGGUAUUUAAUUUUAUAGUAUUAUUA